GCCUGAUUGCUGCGCUUUCCUUUGCUGGUUGGUGGCGGUGGAGAGCUCAGAGCACCAAGAAAGGGGGAAAUCCCCUGGCUGAAGCUACGGCUGCUCCUCUGCAGAUCACUUGAAGGAGAAACGCUUUCGCAUUACGGCACUCUUAAAGCGGCAGGGUCCAAUUUCUCCUUCAAUCUCCUGAAGCUCAACCUGCAAGCGCCCGCACACAGCUCCGCUGUGCGCAGCUCUCUUCCUCGCAGAUGGGUCCUGGCUGAAGCUGCAAGAGUUGCUUGCAGGCAGCUGCGGCUCCCAGUGGGGAGACAGGACCUCCAAUAAGGAGUGUCAGAUACCAAAGCCCUUUAAGAAGGUGGAGGGUAUCUUGAUGUACAGAAGAUGCAGAGACACAGAGAGGGGGCAAGGCCAAGAGGACAGCCAUCAGGAGUGCCUCCAGUUUUGGGUGCCCAACUUGAAAGACUUUAGGCCAAAUUUUUGGAGGUGUUGAGCACCUGCAGCUCCCAAAUCAGAGGCGACUUUUGAAAAUCCCUCCCCCGUCUCUCAUCAUAAUUGCACCCCCUUUGGUAAUUGGUUUUAGGUCUGAAUGGUUUAAUUUUUCCACCCUCCAAUGCCAUCUUGUUCAUUUUUCAUUCUGCAAAGCUUGGGGGAGGGGGUGUACAGUUUGUUAUGAAAAAGUCAAUGCACAAAGCAGCUAUAAUGCUGGGUAUUAAAUGGCCAGUAGCUGAAGAUGCAUGGGCCAGCGGUGUACUACACUGAACUACAUCCCAAACAGAUCUCCAGAAUCAUGGCUUCUAUGCAAUCCUGCUUUCCCAGAGGCUCAGUGGAAGCGAUAACAGACACAGUGCAUCUCCAAAUCCCUGGGAUCAUUUAUAGGGUGGAUGCAAUGCACCAAAGUAGGGGAGUUGAGAAAGUUAAUCAGUAAAGCCUCCAAGCUUGCCCAAGUAUCUAGUACUAAACUCAGCCUGGUGUAGCUGGGCCUGCAUAAGGGAGUGUCCAUGUGCCUUUAUCUGAUCCUUAUUUCAUCGGUAGAUCUGUAUUUUUUUCCAGUGGAACUGAGUGUUUGUGAAAAGUGCUAGCUUGGCACCUUGGGAGUCUGCAGCGCUCCAUGUACAGCAAGGGCAUUAGCAGUGCAGGCUUCUCCUGGGCAGUGCCAGAGUCCUUGCCAGGGAUUGUCCUCAAGGGGCCAGAGGGGAUUUCAUUCUCCAUGGCUCACCAGGUCCCAGUCCUACAAGGUACUGACUGCCCACAACAUCACUGGGAGUCUAGGGCAGUCAGCACCUCCGAGAAGGUGCUCAGCACUUUGUAGGAUCACACCCUUGAUCCUUGAUCUCCCUGCCGCACUUCCAAAUGAAGGUGCCAACGAGUGGUAAAUGUACUGGUGAGUUUGUAAUGUGUGCUCGUGUCCAUGGGCAACUGGGCUGACACCCAACAGCUCAUGUAACAUACUUAAAAAGAGACACAAGCUGGUCCAGUGGCUAAGGCACUAGGCUGGGACUUAGGAGACCUAGGUUCCGCUCUGCUGCUGGCCAAGCAUGUGACCUUGGGCACGUCACUUCUCCUACUCCUACCACCCUUUGUUUGUCUUGUCUAUUUAGAUGGUAAGCUCUUUGGAGUAAGGACUGACUCUUAUUGUGUGUGCAUGUACAGCACCAAGCCCCCUGGGGCUCUGAUCUCAAGGUGGGUCCUCUAGAUAUUAUUGUAAGAUAAACAAUAAAAUAGUAAUAGCAAUAUCACCUUCCUUGAGGAUCUCAAAGCAUCUACAAACAUGAAAUAUGCUUCACAGCACCACCCUGUGCAGUAGGUAAGUGAUAUACAUAGCUUGUCACUUCACCCACCACUGAAUAACCAAACUCUUCUGGUUCAUGGAAUAAGAUGGAGAAUAACAAGGCAAGAGAGGCUAGAGAAUAAUAAACCAUCACAUCACUGCCACUGUGAUAUAGCUCAGCCAUAUUGCUUCUGUGCAGUACAUUGAGGUGUGCAUUUAACAGCAUGGACUGUGAUCCAAAAUCCUAUACUAAGGCACUGCUGCAGUGCAGCUCAGUAAAAAUAACACAGCUGUGCAGUUUGGCCCAGUUAACAUUGGUUUGAGGACUGUCGCUUCAUUAUUUUCUGACCUCGGUGCAUUUUUAAAUUCUCAUCCUUAAUGUUGCAUUAACAUCAGGUUUCUUUGCACUAAAUUAUCACAUGUUCAGAAGAGGCCAUUGAGUUUCCUCAGCAGUAUUCAUGCAGUUCAGCUUUUUCCAAGUGCAGCACUGCGCAUCAUAUCUGCGUUGUGAAAUUCAGUGCAAUGCAGCUCCCUGCAGCACCAUGCCAUCACAAUGGGGACAUCACUGACUUGCUGGCUUUGUGCUUUGUCCUCAAGGUGUUUCCCAGAUAUAAUGCCAUUGUCUGUAACAAAAUAAUUAGCAAAACUUCUCAGACAGUACAAAUAAAGCUAUUGUGAUUCUUAAACCUGAAUCAGUCAAUCAGAAAUCAAUAUGAAAGUAGAAGCUGGUAUUCAAAGAAGCACUAUCCACAUGGAAUAAUAAAAAUCUUGGUUUAAAUGGACACUGAGUUUUUAAAAAAUCUCUCUGUAUAGAAUCUAUGUAAAUCCUUUUUUGGGGUUUUCUCCCCAUAAUAAAUAUGUCAAUGCAGUUGUUUACAAGGAAGGAAGGAAGACCUCAAUGCCAGCAAAUUAGCCCUAAAGAAAAACUCUGCAUCAACAUUCUUUGGAAGGAAAUAUCCCAAUCUUUCCCCCUCCGAUGUCAACGACAAAAUUCCCAUUGACUUAAAUGGGAACAAGGUUGGGCCCAAAAUUUCAAAAAGGAUAUUUUUGCAUGUAUACACAUAGAAUCAUAGAAUAUCAGGGUUGGAAGGGACCU